rnacentral:tRNA from 1 species
GGGCGUAUAGCUCAGCUGGGAGAGCACCUGCCUUACAAGCAGGGGGUCAUAGGUUCGAACCCUGUUACGCCCACCA